rnacentral:rRNA from 1 species
AUUGAACGCUGGCGGCAUGCUUUACACAUGCAAGUCGAACGGCAGCGCGGGCUUCGGCCUGGCGGCGAGUGGCGAACGGGUGUGUAAUGCAUCUGAACGUGCCCAGUAGUUGGGGAUAGCCCGGCGAAAUCCGGAUUAAUACCGCAUACGACCUGAGGGUGAAAGCGGGGGACCGAAAGGCCUCGCGCGAUUGGAGCGGCCGAUGUCGGAUUAGCUAGUUGGUGGGGUAAAGGCUUACCAAGGCGACGAUCCGUAGCUGGUCUGAGAGGGCGACCAGCCACACUGGGACUGAGACACGGCCCAGACUCCUACGGGAGGCAGCAGUGGGGAAUUUUGGACAAUGGGGGCAACCCUGAUCCAGCCAUGCCGCGUGCGGGAAGAAGGCCUUCGGGUUGUAAACCGCUUUUGUUCGGGAAGAAAUCCUCUGGGCUAAUACCCCGGGGGGAUGACGGUACCGGAAGAAUAAGCACCGGCUAACUACGUG